AGAUGCAUUUGAAUGGCUAUGCACUGAGGCGUAAGCCACUUUUAACAGGGGAAACAUAAGUAAGAGACAUUUUCUUUCAAUGGAGAUGCGGAGCGGACAGGGAAGUUGGUCUUCUCAAGGAAAACACUGAAUGGUUCAUGCUGGCUUAACAGAAAAAUCGAAAGGAGAUGAUGUGCUUGAAGAGUAUGAAGCCACCAAUACAUUAAGUGGAAUGAGAAGAGCUUUGUUAGGACACAUACCAGAGACAUGGCUCCAGAAGUGGCGCCAAAGAUCUUCAGCAAACAAGCAGAGCUUUCAGUCCCAUUGUGUUCAGACUCUUUUGCCAAACAAGAUGCUGCGGAGUAUCGUCCUGAUUGCCCUGCUGAUAUCCUCAGGUAA